GGGGCCGUAGUUCAGCCUGGUUAGAACGCUGGCCUGUCAAGCCAGAGGUCGCGGGUUCGAAUCCCGUCGGUCCCGCCA
rnacentral:tRNA from 1 species